rnacentral:rRNA from 1 species
AGCGAACGCUGGCGGCAGGCUUAACACAUGCAAGUCGAGCGGGCACUUUCGGGUGUCAGCGGCGGACGGGUGAGUAACGCGUGGGAACGUGCCCUCUGGUUCGGAAUAACUCAGGGAAACUUGAGCUAAUACCGGAUACGCCCUUUUGGGGAAAGGCUUGCUGCCGGAGGAUCGGCCCGCGUCUGAUUAGCUAGUUGGUGAGGUAACGGCUCACCAAGGCGACGAUCAGUAGCUGGUCUGAGAGGAUGAUCAGACACACUGGGACUGAGACACGGCCCAGACUCCUACGGGAGGCAGCAGUGGGGAAUAUUGGACAAUGGGCGCAAGCCUGAUCCAGCCAUGCCGCGUGAGUGAUGAAGGCCUUAGGGUUGUAAAGCUCUUUUAUCCGGGACGAUAAUGACGGUACCGGAGGAAUAAGCCCCGGCUAACUUCGUG